GGUGGUUUGAAGUUUACCGAAAUCGUUGGAAUAUCUACUAAGUUUUAGUAUGGUCGACAUGUUUUAUUGGUUUAUUUCGUUACUAGUACUCGAAUUCAUGGAAUAGUGAUAAAAUCUGAAUUUGGAGUUAAACUAGUAGUAUAAUUUUACAUGUUGGACUUGAAAUUGAUUUAUGAGAAAAUAUAUAAAUUCUAUACUGUCACUUUCUAAAAAUUACCAGAUUUAACUUUAAAAACUGUGAUUGUUUUGAACUUGAAAUUGAUAUAGGAGAGAAUAUAUAGAUUCUAUACUGUCACUUUCUGAAAAUUAUCAGAUUUAGUUUUACGAGCUGUGAUUGUUUUGUAUCGUCGCUGUUAGUAUGCGAUGGAUAUCCAGAUAGAAUCCUAAACCCUAAACUAUUUUACGGUGAAUCAAACCAUCCGUCAACUCAAUCCGUCAAUUGUCCCAUCUCCCCACAACCC
rnacentral:lncRNA from 1 species